rnacentral:rRNA from 1 species
UGCGGAGGGUGCAAGCGUUAUCCGGAUUCACUGGGUUUAAAGGGUGCGUAGGUGGGCUAGUAAGUCCGUGGUGAAAUCUCCAAGCUUAACUUGGAAACUGCCGUGGAUACUAUUAGUCUUGAAUAUUGUGGAGGUAAGCGGAAUAUGUCAUGUAGCGGUGAAAUGCUUAGAUAUGACAUAGAACACCGAUAGCGAAGGCAGCUUGCUACACAAUCAUUGACACUGAGGCACGAAAGCGUGGGGAUCAAACAGG